rnacentral:rRNA from 1 species
AAGGAAUAUUGGACAAUGGAGGUAACUCUGAUCCAGCCAUGCCGCGUGAAGGAAUAAGGCCCUAUGGGUUGUAAACUUCUUUUAGACGGGACAAAACCCCUUUACGUGUAAAGGGUUGAUGGUACUGUCAGAAUAAGCAUCGGCUAACUUCGUGCCAGCAGCCGCGGUAAUACGAAGGAUGCAAGCGUUAUCCGGAAUUAUUGGGUUUAAAGGGUGCGUAGGCGGGCUAAUAAGUCAGUGGUGAAAGCCUGCAGCUUAACUGCAGAAUUGCCAUUGNUACUGUUAGUCUUGAGUACAGUUGAGGUAGGCGGAAUGUGUCAUGUAGCGGUGAAAUGCUUAGAUAUGACACAGAACACCGAUUGCGAAGGCAGCUUGCUAAGCUGUAACUGACGCUGAGGCACGAAAGCGUGGGGAGCAAACA